UACGGAGGGUGCAAGCGUUAUCCGGAUUUACUGGGUUUAAAGGGUGCGUAGGCGGACAGGUAAGUCAGUGGUGAAAUCCCCGAGCUCAACUUGGGAACUGCCGUUGAUACUAUCUGUCUUGAAUACCGUGGAGGUGAGCGGAAUAUGUCAUGUAGCGGUGAAAUGCUUAGAUAUGACAUAGAACACCGAUUGCGAAGGCAGCUCACUACGCGGUCAUUGACGCUGAGGCACGAAAGCGUGGGGAGCGAACAGG
rnacentral:rRNA from 1 species